CUCGGUGAACUCUGUGACUCCGUCCAUGUCGGGGAGGAAGGGUUCAGGGUUCAAGCGGUAUUCCAGAAGAUUUUGCAGUGGCUGCUGCUCCUGGAUUUGGCCCAGGGAGCUCCAGCCCCCGUCUCCCUGACACGAAACGGUGGGCCCAGAUGUGGACACUGCAACACACUUACUUCAGAGUUGGAGAUGAUGUCGGAGAAGUGUUGCCAGGUUAAGGGUCCACCUUGCAGUUGGAUGUCGUCCCCCUGCUCAGAGAUCUGGCCGCUCAGAAUCAGCAACUUAUUCCCAGCAAAGUCGGUGAUCAACGAACGAAUCUGAGUAAAGAGAAGCAUCAAGAGCUGAAGUCAUCCCCACUAAAAGAGGCGGAACACAGGCCCAGAUGUGAACAACUGGACGUCAUUGUCCCGGACCUCCUCACCUCGGACACGGCCGCCUCCACUGAAGGAUUCACCAACACCACCGUCUGUAGGACUUCACUCUGGUACUGGAGGACCCGCUGGCCUUUAAAGAACAGAGACAAGAAGUAAACUUUAUAGGGGAAAAAAUAAAUCAAACCAAUUCAGUUCACCAAUUAAAGAUUAGAAGCCACAAUCUUUAAUUGAAGCCCACGUGUGCAACUAGACACUAGUGACGCCUGAGUUUGUCUCAGCUGCUAUGAAACAGCUUUGUAUUGUUGUGAGUUAAAGAGUGUUUAGUGUGUGAAUACAACAUCCUACACAUGCAUGUGGUUGUGAAGGAGGCUCCACCGUCUCAUCUUUGACUAAUAUGUCUCCGU